rnacentral:rRNA from 1 species
UACGGAGGGUGCAAGCGUUAUCCGGAUUUAUUGGGUUUAAAGGGUCCGUAGGCGGACUCGUAAGUCAGUGGUGAAAUCUCAUAGCUUAACUAUGAAACUGCCAUUGAUACUGCGGGUCUUGAGUAAGGUAGAGGUAGCUGGAAUAAGUAGUGUAGCGGUGAAAUGCAUAGAUAUUACUUAGAACACCAAUUGCGAAGGCAGGUUACCAUGUCUUAACUGACGCUGAUGGACGAAAGCGUG